rnacentral:lncRNA from 1 species
UCAGUUUGGGAAGCUUUGUUGGUCUUGUCUCUGCUCUCGCAAUCCUUUGCUCCCUCUAACAACAUAAUAGGCCUGACUUUUGGAGAUUCCUUAUUUAACCAGCUGCCUUAGUGGAGUGAGGACCAGUGACAGAAAGGUAGUGUUUUUAUCCUAUCAUAGAUAUCUGAAAUUAGCUAUAUGGAAUUUUCCUUGGUCUGAAUUUCCUGAUUGCCACUCCCUUCUCUCUUCUAAGAAGCUUCUUCUUAUAAUUCCUCCCCCAACAGAAUCCCCUUUAAUCUUUUCUUUCCUGGGAGUGAUAUUCUCCAUUAUUCUCCUUACUUAAUUUCAGUUCUUGAUCUUAAAAAUGUUCUUCUUUUAUAACCUUAUAUUCCACCUCCCCAAGGUGUCAGACUAUAAGAACUUUAGCCAGGCUACUUUCUUAUGGAAGUUCAAAGGGAAACUUUCAUACUCUUAAUUACUUUUCAUUGCCUUGGCUACUUUCAAAUCUAGUUUUAAAUGCAGAUACACAUGCACACACAUGCAGAAUUAUAUUACAUGACUAAGGAAAGUUGGAAACUCCUUUUCCUUGAAGAUCUAUAAGGAAAGAUCUGAUCCCUUUCUGCCCUGGUUAGUUGUUGGACUAUGAGGAGCAGGGUGCUGAAAUAGUGGCCUUGACCAAUGUUCUUUGAGACUCUCAGUGUUAUGUUUGGUCUUUGAUAACUGACUUGAACCCAUGGCCUCUCCAGUGUCUCAUAUACCAGCUUCCUCACAGCUCUCUCUUCUGACUUGUUACUUUGUGUAGUUAUGUGUU